GAUGAACGCUGGCGGCGUGCCUAAUACAUGCAAGUCGAGCGAACAGACGAGGAGCUUGCUCCUCUGACGUUAGCGGCGGACGGGUGAGUAACACGUGGAUAACCUACCUAUAAGACUGGGAUAACUUCGGGAAACCGGAGCUAAUACCGGAUGAUAUAUUGAACCGCAUGGUUCAAUAGUGAAAGACGGUUUUGCUGUCACUUAUAGAUGGAUCCGCGCUGCAUUAGCUAGUUGGUAAGGUAACGGCUUACCAAGGCAACGAUGCGUAGCCGACCUGAGAGGGUGAUCGGCCACACUGGAACUGAGACACGGUCCAGACUCCUACGGGAGGCAGCAGUAGGGAAUCUUCCGCAAUGGGCGAAAGCUUGACGGAGCAACGCCGCGUGAGUGAUGAAGGUCUUCGGAUCGUAAAACUCUGUUAUUAGGGAAGAACAAAUGUGUAAGUAACUAUGCACGUCUUGACGGUACCUAAUCAGAAAGCCACGGCUAACUACGUG
rnacentral:rRNA from 1 species